UAUGCAAGUUUUUGUUCACAUUGUAAAGAUCUUUGUAAUUUAUGGCAAGCAUGAGAAGGUUUAAUUGUUCCCCAGGGUGCUGAUGGGAAACUGAAGACAGUUACAAGCAAUUGGUUCACCACCUACUGGAACAUUGGUGGAAAUUUCUCCUUUUGCUUUGCGAUCAAACUGAUUACAGGCUAUCAAACUCUAUUCACCAGAAUGAGACUUUGGAGAGACUGGACAAGGGUUUACCCCCAGUGAGAAGCAGCACGUUGGUACCAGUAACUUCACCCAUUGUAGUGACAUGCUGAUGGUCAGUUCCCUCCCUUUCUUCUCUAAUCUUGGCAGCAGCAAAAGUCUCUUUUUCUGAAGAGACAGACAGACAGACUCGUCCUUUGACAAAAUGCUUGUUGUUCUGUUUGGGUCUAGUUCUACCUCUGAAAUGGUUUGAAACGCACAAAACCCAGGGGCUGCAAUGGCAAGCUAAAGGUUUUCAUUUCAAUUGCACUGCUUUCCGUAUUGCUGAACGCUUGGCACACAGGUUAUUCACAGAAGUAAUUGCAAAACGAGACGUGCCUCAAGAUGGUCACCAGCUGGCAACGGUCUUUCUGUUUAUUCUUCCAGUGACUGGGAAAUGUAUUAGAGAAAUCUAAGGUAAUUUAGAAACCAAUACUAAUUCCUAGGAUGCAGUGAUACAUUUUAGGAGAAGAGUUCACCUUUGUAAUAUUACUGAACUUCUUCCAUGUCUGUGUAUGGAAAUGGUACUUCCAGAGGUCACCAUUAGGACUGGAAUUUGAGAUCCCUCCACCAAAAAUCCACAUGGAGUCUUUGAAUGCUACUAAUGAAUGACCUACCACAGCAGGAGGUCCUUGGCCAAAUAUAAGAGAAAGCACCAGUUAAGAGGAGACCAGCGAGAACCAUAACAUUGAUUGUAGCCUGUUCCUGACUGAAAAGAAUGACCACUGAGCAGCUGCAUUUGGACAUCAAAAUUAUACUCCCAACAGCUGCAUGAACAUGUUGCCAACAUCUACACCAAAUAAAGCCAAAGGGAACAAACCUAAAGCCACGUCCAGUCUUGGGGAAGACAGCAGCUCUACAUCUUCAUCUGAACAAUUCCUGCCAUCAUCAAAAGGGCAACAUCUCUCUCUCUGCUUGCACACAAUAUCAUGUGUAGGAAACCCCGAUGAACGUUGUACUGUUUAAUGGAGACAGCAUUGCAGAAGAAGUCACUUCCUAGGCAAUGUGCGACAGCUUGAAGAAUGCAGAUUCAGGGAUCUCAGAGCUCCUUCCACAGUUAAAUGAGGACAAAACCACCUCCUUAGUCAAGCACUUGAAAUCUGCUGAUGCAGCGCUACGUGAGAGUGCCACGGUAUUAUUGCUACUACCGAUAGGAUUUAAUGUGAAAAAAAAGACGAUGAUCGGUCUCCCUAUCUACUGCCAUCUUUACAAGGGUAAAAUGGGCUUGUGCCCAUAAGUUCUUUCAUUUUUCCCAGGUAUAAAACUGUUUAUUCUUCUUCCUACAAACCUUGCCUCCUUUACUACAAACGUUUGGAGAACAUGCAGGCCCUGACUUCGUGUAGUGGGUUAUCUACAAAAUCCUGUGCACCUGUUUGUCUCAGCUACCCCGUUUGAACUCCGUGCGAGCAAGGCAGGCGUGACGUGAUAGCAAAAGGCCAGUGUGGGAUGAAGUGAACUUCCACUCACAGCUUUUGGGCAGCCCCUGACCCUUGCGAAUCAUGACCAUUCACGCUCUCCGCAUAAAGCACUCUCGGAGACAGACCUACAGUCACCAAAUACAUUGGUUAACAAAUUGCUUCAUUCCACGGUUUAGAAAAAAGCACAUGCAGUGUUAACAGUCUCGAGUCUUGCCUUUCAGCAUUGGUCUUUUAAAUUACAAACUUGACUCCUAGACCGCUUUUGUGCCGAGCCAGACUCACCAAAGUUCAUUCACUGCCUACCUUAUCAGUCCUGUUUCCAAAGAAAAACUGCUACUCUUCCAAAGACUGAUGUCACCAAGCAGUAUUCGCAGUGUAACAAAAUACUGACCUCAGCUUCAACUUGGUACAAUUAAUUAUCCAACAGGAAGCUCUAACUUCAGCAUAAUUUCCCCUCCAAAAAACCCGAAAAAGAAAACUCGGUACUUUUUCUACCAACUUUUCCAAAACAGCUGUAACACUCAGAAAAAUGGCUGCUGCUCUGCAAACUCUUCUGCCAUUUCACUCUAAAAAUAACUGCCAUGCAAUCAAUCCCAAUUGUUAAGCGGCUUGAGGAUGUGCACGAAGAGGACCUAAAAAGCUGUAAUUAGCAGGGUAACUAUAGCGCAGAAUGCUUAUCAAUUAAUGGUGCCACACUACUGUUUCAUAAUAAAAAUAAUUCAGGAAAUGUAGAAAGACAGAAAUUACUUCAGGAAAUGUAGUUUAUAUGCUCGUUAUAUCAUUAUUUAUAUUUUUAUUAAACAUGGUUUAUCAAGCAAAAGAUUUACUUAUUUAAAAUGUUGCUUAAAUGGGUAUUUAUUAAAGCCUUUUUUUCUACCUAGGUCUCUUGAUUCCUUUCCAUCUGUUUUCAAUAUACUCAGUAAAGUUUCAGAUUUAAGAUGAUCAAGCCUUUGGAAAUAUAAUGAGAUAUGAAAUCACCCCUAUUGAAAAAAAAAAAAGUAGGAAAUCUUUUUUGGGGGAGGGGGUAUUAAUGACCCACAGUCUUCUAAGCUCAGCCCUUGGCCCUUUCUGUGCAGAAUGCUGAAUUUCCAUAUUAGCAACUUGAUGUUUUAGUGACACUUUGUUUUUCCUUUUGCAGAUUAAUAUUAUUGAUAUCUUCUCUUUUUAUAAUUUUUCUACUUAUUCUAGAAAUUUUGGCCCAGAAAAGCACUAUUCUGUCUCUAUUACAAAAUAUGUUCUUAAGUAGUAAUAAAUAUAAAAAUUUAUUAGAAGAAGAAGUAGAAAUAUAUCUAGUUGUAUUUUCUAUGUGCUAGGUAUAUUUCUCUUUUUUAAGUAAGCAAAUAUAUUUUGGUUUGGUGUAACACAGUAAAUAUUCCACCUUUUUCCUAAAUAUGGUGGAGGUGGUGCUUUCUGGAAAAAAGAAAUUACAUACUUAAAACAUUUCUGGGAAUGUUACAGUCUUGGUUCUAAUCUAGUAUAUUAAUCAGGAAAUGAUCUUUGCCAGUCUAUAGAAACAAAUCUUAUUGUACAGGCAAU